rnacentral:rRNA from 1 species
UACAGAGGUGGCAAGCGUUACUCGGAAUGACUGGGUGUAAAGGGUCCGCAGGCGGUCUUGCGUGUGUAAAGUGAAAUCCUUGGGCUCAACCCAAGAACUGCUUUUCAAACUACAAGACUAGAGGAUGGGAGAGGAGAGUGGAACUGCCGGUGUAAAGGUGAAAUUUGUGGAUAUCGGCAGGAACACCCGUGGAGAAGUCGGCUCUCUGGCCCAUAUCUGACGCUCAGGGACGAAAGCUAGGGGAG